UACAGAGGGUGCAAGCGUUAAUCGGAAUUACUGGGCGUAAAGCGUGCGUAGUCGGUUAUUUAAGUCGGAUGUGAAAUCCCCGGGCUCAACCCGGGAACUGCGUCCGAUACUGGAAGGCUUGAAUCCGGGAGAGGGAUGCGGAAUUCCAGGUGUAGCGGUGAAAUGCGUAGAUAUCUGGAGGAACACCGGUGGCGAAGGCGGCAUCCUGGACCGGCAUUGACGCUGAGGCGCGAAAGCCAGGGGAGCAAACGGG
rnacentral:rRNA from 1 species